rnacentral:rRNA from 1 species
GGCUUAAUUUGACUCAACGCGGGGAAACUCACCAGGUCCAGACACAAUGAGGAUUGACAGAUUGAGGGCUCUUUCUUGAUUUUGUGGGUGGUGGUGCAUGGCCGUUCUUAGUUGGUGGAGUGAUUUGUCUGCUUAAUUGCGAUAACGAACGAGACCUUAACCUGCUAAAUAGCCCGUGCUGCUCCGGCAGCACGCCGGCUUCUUAGAGGGACUAUCGGCUCAAGCCGAUGGAAGUUUGAGGCAAUAACAGGUCUGUGAUGCCC